rnacentral:rRNA from 1 species
GAUUUCUGACUUGGCGCACCUAGCCCGCCACGGUUACGUGUGUGAGUGCCGGGAUGCGCCUGUCACUUUUCUGGUAAACUAUUGUGCACUUCAUUGGGUACGAUAGGUACAGCCAGAUAUUUUACUUUGAAAAAAUUAGAGUGUUUAAAGCAGGCGUUUUUGCUAUGAAUACAUUAGCAUGGAAUAAUAAGUUAGGACUUCGGUUCUAUUUUGUUGGUUUCUAGGACUGAAGUAAUGAUUGAUAGGGAUAGUUGGGGGUGCUAGUAUUCAGCGGCCAGAGGUGAAAUUCUCGGAUUCGCUGAAGACUAACUUAUGCGAAAGCAUU